rnacentral:rRNA from 1 species
AUUGAACGCUGGCGGCAGGCUUAACACAUGCAAGUCGAGCGGAGAUGAGGUGCUUGCACCUUAUCUUAGCGGCGGACGGGUGAGUAAUGCUUAGGAAUCUGCCUAUUAGUGGGGGACAACAUUCCGAAAGGAAUGCUAAUACCGCAUACGCCCUACGGGGGAAAGCAGGGGAUCUUCGGACCUUGCGCUAAUAGAUGAGCCUAAGUCGGAUUAGCUAGUUGGUGGGGUAAAGGCCUACCAAGGCGACGAUCUGUAGCGGGUCUGAGAGGAUGAUCCGCCACACUGGGACGGAGACACGGCCCAGACUCCUACGGGAGGCAGCAGUGGGGAAUAUUGGACAAUGGGCGGAAGCCUGAUCCAGCCAUGCCGCGUGUGUGAAGAAGGCCUUUUGGUUGUAAAGCACUUUAAGCGAGGAGGAGGCUACUUAGAUUAAUACUCUAGGAUAGUGGACGUUACUCGCAGAAUAAGCACCGGCUAACUCUGUGCCAGCCGCCGCCGUAA